CGUUCCACGGGUUAUUUAUUGAUAUGUAUACAUAUUAUAUAUUAAAUUUUAAUUACAUGCUGAAUAUAUGUUGUUUAUUUUUCUAAAUAUAGUUGUUCAAUUAAAAGAAGAGCUGACUUAUAACUUGUUAUAAGUCCAAGUUUCUAAUUAUUUCACAAAAAAGUCAAGUUUCUUAUUUUAAGUCCAAGUAUA
rnacentral:snRNA from 1 species